CAUGCAGUCGAGCGGUAACAGGGGUAGCUUGCUACCCGCUGACGAGCGGCGGACGGGUGAGUAAUGCUUAGGAAUCUGCCCAGUAGUGGGGGAUAGCCCGGGGAAACCCGGAUUAAUACCGCAUACGUCCUACGGGAGAAAGCAGGGGAUCUUCGGACCUUGCGCUAUUGGAUGAGCCUAAGUCGGAUUAGCUAGUUGGUGGGGUAAAGGCCUACCAAGGCGACGAUCCGUAGCUGGUCUGAGAGGAUGAUCAGCCACAUCGGGACUGAGACACGGCCCGAACUCCUACGGGAGGCAGCAGUGGGGAAUAUUGGACAAUGGGGGCAACCCUGAUCCAGCCAUGCCGCGUGUGUGAAGAAGGCUUUCGGGUUGUAAAGCACUUUCAGUAGGGAGGAAAACCUUAUGGCUAAGACCCAUGAGGCUUGACGUUACCUACAGAAGAAGCACCGGCUAACUCCGUGCCAGCAGCCGCGGUAAUACGGAGGGUGCAGGCGUUAAUCGGAAUUACUGGGCGUAAAGCGCGCGUAGGUGGUGUGGUAAGCCAGAUGUGAAAGCCCCGGGCUUAACCUGGGAACGGCAUUUCCAACUGUCAGACUAGAGUGUGGUAGAGGG
rnacentral:rRNA from 2 species